AGUGGCGCACGGGUGCGUAACACGUAUGCAACCUACCUUUCCGUGGGGGAUAGUCAUUGGAAACGAUGAAUAAUCCCGCAUAAGAUCCUGUUAUCGCAUGGUGAUAGGAUGAAAGCUUUAGUGCGGAGAGAUGGGCAUGCGUCUGAUUAGCUGGUUGGUAGGGUAACGGCCUACCAAGGCGACGAUCAGUAACUGGUCUGAGAGGAUGAUCAGUCACACGGGCACUGAGACACGGGCCCGACUCCUACGGGAGGCAGCAGUAAGGAAUAUUGGUCAAUGGGGGCAACCCUGAACCAGCCAUGCCGCGUGCAGGAUGAAGGUCCUCUGGAUUGUAAACUGCUUUUAUCAGGGGUUAAUACCCGGCUAUACGUCGGGAUGAAGGUACCUGAGGAAUAAGCCACGGCUAACUACGUGCCUGCAGCCGCGGUAAUACGUAGGUGGCAAGCGUUGUCCGGAUUUAUUGGGUUUAAAGGGUGCGUAGGUGGCUUUUUAAGUGAGUGGUGAAAACGUACCGCUUAACGGUAUACCCGCCAUUCAUACUGGGAAGCUUGAGUAUGCGUGAGGAAGUUGGAAUGCGUGGUGUAGCGGUGAAAUGCUUAGAUAUCACGCAGAACGCCGAUUGCGAAGGCAGAUUUCUGGCGCAUGACUGACACUGAGGCACGAAAGCGUGGGUAGCGAACAGGAUUAGAUACCCUGGUAGUCCACGCUGUAAACGAUGGUUACUAGAUGUUGG
rnacentral:rRNA from 1 species